rnacentral:tRNA from 1 species
GCUUCCAUGGUGUAGUGGUUAGCGCAACUGACCACUAAUCCAGAGGUCUCGGGUUCGAAUCCCGGCCGAAGUG